UACGUAGGGCGCAAGCGUUGUCCGGAAUUAUUGGGCGUAAAGAGCUCGUAGGCGGUUUGUCGCGUCUGCUGUGAAAACCCGAGGCUUAACCUCGUGGCUUGCGGUGGAUACGGGCAGACUAGAGGUAGGUAGGGGAGAACGGAAUUCCCGGUGUAGCGGUGAAAUGCGCAGAUAUCGGGAGGAACACCGGUGGCGAAGGCGGUUCUCUGGGCCUUACCUGACGCUGAGGAGCGAAAGCAUGGGGAGCGAACAGG
rnacentral:rRNA from 1 species